rnacentral:rRNA from 1 species
AGUGAACGCUGGCGGCGUGCCUAAUACAUGCAAGUCGAACGAGUGGCGCACGGGUGAGUAAUAUAUAUUAAUAUGCCCUACACAGAGGAACAACAGUUGGAAACGACUGCUAAUACCUCAUAGUGUAGGAUGAGACUAUAUCGUAUCAGCUAGUUGGUAAGGUAAUGGCUUACCAAGGCUAUGACGCGUAACUGGUCUGCGAGGAUGAUCAGUCACAUGGGAACGUAGAAACAGUCCAAACUCCUACGGGCGGCAGCAGUAAGGAAUUGUGCGCAAUAGGGGAAAUCCUGAUCCAGCCAUGCCGCGUGUGUGAAGAAGGUCUGCGGAUUGUAAAGCACUUUAAGUUGGGAGGCGUUACCAACAGAAUAAGCACCGGCUAACUUCGUGCCAGCAGCCGCGGUAAUAC